rnacentral:rRNA from 1 species
AUUGAACGCUGGCGGCAUGCCUUACACAUGCAAGUCGAACGGUAACGCGGGGCAACCUGGCGACGAGUGGCGAACGGGUGAGUAAUAUAUCGGAACGUGCCCAGUAGUGGGGGAUAGCCCGGCGAAAGCCGGAUUAAUACCGCAUGAGACCUGAGGGUGAAAGCAGGGGAUCGCAAGACCUUGCGCUGAUUGAGCGGCCGAUAUCAGAUUAGCUAGUUGGUGAGGUAAAGGCUCACCAAGGCGACGAUCUGUAGCGGGUCUGAGAGGAUGAUCCGCCACACUGGGACUGAGACACGGCCCAGACUCCUACGGGAGGCAGCAGUGGGGAAUUUUGGACAAUGGGGGCAACCCUGAUCCAGCCAUGCCGCGUGAGUGAAGAAGGCC